GUGUCAGCCGCCGCGGUAAUACGAAGGGGGCGAGCGUUGUUCGGAAUCACUGGGCUUAAAGCGUACGUAGGCGGCUUCUCAAGUCAGAAGUGAAAUCCCGGGGCUCAACCCCGGAAUUGCUUUUGAAACUGGGUGGCUAGAGUCCCGGAGAGGUUGGCGGAAUUCCGAGUGUAGAGGUGAAAUUCGCAGAUAUUCGGAGGAACACCAGUGGCGUAGGCGGCCAACUGGACGGGAACUGACGCUGAGGUACGAAAGCGUGGGGAGCAAACAGGAUUAGAUACCCUGGUAGUCCACGCUGUAAACGAUGUGUGUUAGUUGUCGGGGUCUUUAGGCCUCGGUGACGCAGAGAAAUCAUUAAACACACCGCCUGGGGAGUACGGUCGCAAGAUUAAAACUUAAAUGAAUUGGCGGGG
rnacentral:rRNA from 1 species